UUCUGAUUUUUAUGACAAAGAUUUCAGCUAAUAAAAAUCUAGAAUUUUAUUAGAUGAUUAUUAUCUUAUGAAUACCGUUAGAUGACUACAUUUGAAAUGCUAGUUUUGGCAACACUGGUAGCAGCAAUGAUGUGGAAAACGUCAGUUGUCAUCGCGUCAAAUCGUUUAUUUCCUGGUUUGGCAUAUCACGAUCGAAAAAAGGAAUUUUAUGAUAUAGGAAAUCAGAUACAAUCCAAUUUGCCCCUCCAAAUGGCAUUGUAUUUUAAUGUAUGGAUGUAUCCCGUAUGGUUUUUUAUAAUAUUUAUCAAUUUAGAUGCAAAAUACUAUUAUUUGACAGAUGUAUACAAAUUUAUAACUGUAGCCGUAUUUAUUAUUAUAUCAGUAUUGGAAGGUAUACGGCUGUAUUUGGGAUAUCUUGGGAACCUAGCAGAGAAGAUUCCAGAAUUGGCAAGCUUUUGGCUGAUAUCUACUCUCAUACAUUUUCCUUUAGAGAUGUUCCUUCUCUUCGAUAGCAAAACCAGACCUCAUUUUAGUGAAAUAAUUAUUAACAGUAUUAUGGCGUUUCUGCUCGUUACAGAAAUUAUAACAGCUACUGUAGCUUUAAAGAAGUCAGCAGACCAUCAUGCUAAAAGCUAAUGCUAAUAGGAGCUGCGAACGAGAAGGCGUCAUACGUGACAGGAGCUGUAACAAAACCAAUAUUUAAACACUAUUAUAAUUUUUGAAUGCGACCAAAUCUUCUGUUGCUUCCCCAGUUUUAUGUGUCUCCACGAUUCUUUCAAAGAAUAGUAAAAUCAGAUGUAAGGCUCUAAAACAUUUAACAAUCAUUAAAUAAAAAUGUUUUAUAUGCAAAAGUAUGUAUCUGAAAGAACUAGUAGAUUUAAUAAUAGCAAUAAUGUAUACAGCACAGAAUAAAUAAAUAUCCACAUUUUUGAUCA